rnacentral:tRNA from 1 species
GGACUAUAGCUCAGUGGCAGAGUACGUGCCUAGUGUGUCUGAGGUACUGGGUUCGAUUCUCAGCACCA